GUUCUGGAUUCCUAUUUUCCUUUAUUUUUUAAAGUUUUUUAUUGGCCCUUUUUUAGCAUUCUGUAUAUGCUUUGAUGUAAAAUAAUCGACCCUCCGACCCUUCCUUGAUUGUGUUUACAGCGUGAGCUGGUUAUCACGUUGAUGAACUAUUAUUUUAUUUUGAACCGAUGGUAUGUUAUUUGUGUUCAAUUUCUCUUAUAUCUGGUGUUGGACCCUUCUGUCAGUAUGUUGUCCACUAUAGUUGAGGUACCAUUUACCAGCUUAGGAAGUUAUAGCUCUAAACUUUGUGAAGAAAAAGGUGGAUGACUUCAAGAACCAGAAAUGUUUUACAUAAACGAUAUGCAUCGAGAAAUUUAAAAGGCUUCGCCAUCUCUGGUUGACAAAUGGUCAGGUAGUUCACUUAGCAAGUCCAUUUGUUACUUACAUUCUUUGCAUUCAAGUGUAUGUCUCCCGUCAGCUAUGCAUCUUGCCGUGGGAAUCAUGUUAGCAAAAACGUGAACAAGAUUUAAGGGUUUGGGGGGAUGUCAGAUUUAAGUUUAGUGAUACAUUUGUGGAGUGCAUUGCUGACGUUUUCUGCCAUUGAUCUCUUGCUCAUGUUAUUAAGGAGAAGAUAUUUGUGGUUCAUGGGGGACUUUUCAGAAAUGCCGUGGUGAUUGAGCAAUUGAACGGCUUUGUGAACCCCCAGAAGAAGGUUAAGGUGUGAGAUAUUAUGAAGUGAUCCACUCCCUAAUCCGGGUAGAGGACCAAAGCAAGCGUAGCGUGGGCCUCUCUUUUGGUGGAGAUGUUACCAAAAGGUUUCUGAAAGACAAUAAACUAGUUGUCUGAUCUCAUGAGGUCAAGGAUGAAAGGCUAGGAAAUUGAGGAUGAUGAGAAACUUAUCACUAUUUUUCGGGUUACAAACUUAUCACUGAGGUCAAAGGUGAUUAUUUUGAGUAUGACUUGGAUGGCAGUCAACAGAAGUAAUUAUGAAUAUGUGUUUGGUCUCUACGAUUGCUCAGAAUUGCUUGGUUUGCCACCAAUGUAUCACAAGGUUAAACAUUACUUGAUAUUAAUUGUUUGAUAC